UUUAUGGAGAGUUUGAUCCUGGCUCAGAGUGAACGCUGGCGGCGUGCCUAAUACAUGCAAGUCGAACGAUGAAGCUUCUAGCUUGCUAGAAUGCUGAUUAGUGGCGCACGGGUGAGUAACGCAUAGGUCAUGUGCCUCUUAGUUUGGGAUAGCCAUUGGAAACGAUGAUUAAUACCAGAUACUCCCUACGGGGGAAAGAUUUAUCGCUAAGAGAUCAGCCUAUGUCCUAUCAGCUUGUUGGUAAGGUAAUGGCUUACCAAGGCUAUGACGGGUAUCCGGCCUGAGAGGGUGAACGGACACACUGGAACUGAGACACGGUCCAGACUCCUACGGGAGGCAGCAGUAGGGAAUAUUGCUCAAUGGGGGAAACCCUGAAGCAGCAACGCCGCGUGGAGGAUGAAGGUUUUAGGAUUGUAAACUCCUUUUGUUAGAGAAGAUAAUGACGGUAUCUAACGAAUAAGCACCGGCUAACUCCGUGCCAGCAGCCGCGGUAAUACGGAGGGUGCAAGCGUUACUCGGAAUCACUGGGCGUAAAGAGCGCGUAGGCGGGAUAGUCAGUCAGGUGUGAAAUCCUAUGGCUUAACCAUAGAACUGCAUUUGAAACUACUAUUCUAGAGUGUGGGAGAGGUAGGUGGAAUUCUUGGUGUAGGGGUAAAAUCCGUAGAGAUCAAGAGGAAUACUCAUUGCGAAGGCGACCUGCUAGAACAUUACUGACGCUGAUUGCGCGAAAGCGUGGGGAGCAAACAGGAUUAGAUACCCUGGUAGUCCACGCCCUAAACGAUGGAUGCUAGUUGUUGGAGGGCUUAGUCUCUCCAGUAAUGCAGCUAACGCAUUAAGCAUCCCGCCUGGGGAGUACGGUCGCAAGAUUAAAACUCAAAGGAAUAGACGGGGACCCGCACAAGCGGUGGAGCAUGUGGUUUAAUUCGAAGAUACACGAAGAACCUUACCUAGGCUUGACAUUGAGAGAAUCCGCUAGAAAUAGUGGAGUGUCUAGCUUGCUAGACCUUGAAAACAGGUGCUGCACGGCUGUCGUCAGCUCGUGUCGUGAGAUGUUGGGUUAAGUCCCGCAACGAGCGCAACCCCCUUUCUUAGUUGCUAACAGGUCAUGCUGAGAACUCUAAGGAUACUGCCUCCGUAAGGAGGAGGAAGGUGGGGACGACGUCAAGUCAUCAUGGCCCUUACGCCUAGGGCUACACACGUGCUACAAUGGGGUGCACAAAGAGAAGCAAUACUGCGAAGUGGAGCCAAUCUUCAAAACGCCUCUCAGUUCGGAUUGUAGGCUGCAACUCGCCUGCGGUGAAUACGUUCCCGGGUCUUGUACUCACCGCCCGUCACACCAUGGGAGUUGUGUUUGCCUUAAGUCAGGAUGCUAAAUUAGCUACUGCCCACGGCACACACAGCGACUGGGGUGAAGUCGUAACAAGGUAACCGUAGGUGAACCUGCGGUUGGAUCACCUCCUUUCUA
rnacentral:rRNA from 1 species